CAUGCAGUCGAGCGGUAGCACAGAGAGCUUGCUCUCGGGUGACGAGCGGCGGACGGGUGAGUAAUGUCUGGGAAACUGCCUGAUGGAGGGGGAUAACUACUGGAAACGGUAGCUAAUACCGCAUAACGUCGCAAGACCAAAGUGGGGGACCUUCGGGCCUCAUGCCAUCAGAUGUGCCCAGAUGGGAUUAGCUGGUAGGUGGGGUAACGGCUCACCUAGGCGACGAUCCCUAGCUGGUCUGAGAGGAUGACCAGCCACACUGGAACUGAGACACGGUCCAGACUCCUACGGGAGGCAGCAGUGGGGAAUAUUGCACAAUGGGCGCAAGCCUGAUGCAGCCAUGCCGCGUGUGUGAAGAAGGCCUUCGGGUUGUAAAGCACUUUCAGCGGGGAGGAAGGCGGUGAGGUUAAUAACCUCACCGAUUGACGUUACCCGCAGAAGAAGCACCGGCUAACUCCGUGCCAGCAGCCGCGGUAAUACGGAGGGUGCAAGCGUUAAUCGGAAUUACUGGGCGUAAAGCGCACGCAGGCGGUCUGUCAAGUCGGAUGUGAAAUCCCCGGGCUCAACCUGGGAACUGCAUUCGAAACUGGCAGGCUAGAGUCUUGUAGAGGGGGGUAGAAUUCCAGGUGUAGCGGUGAAAUGCGUAGAGAUCUGGAGGAAUACCGGUGGCGAAGGCGGCCCCCUGGACAAAGACUGACGCUCAGGUGCGAAAGCGUGGGGAGCAAACAGGAUUAGAUACCCUGGUAGUCCACGCUGUAAACGAUGUCGAUUUGGAGGUUGUGCCCUUGAGGCGUGGCUUCCGGAGCUAACGCGUUAAAUCGACCGCCUGGGGAGUACGGCCGCAAGGUUAAAACUCAAAUGAAUUGACGGGGGCCCGCACAAGCGGUGGAGCAUGUGGUUUAAUUCGAUGCAACGCGAAGAACCUUACCUGGUCUUGACAUCCACAGAACUUAGCAGAGAUGCUUUGGUGCCUUCGGGAACUGUGAGACAGGUGCUGCAUGGCUGUCGUCAGCUCGUGUUGUGAAAUGUUGGGUUAAGUCCCGCAACGAGCGCAACCCUUAUCCUUUGUUGCCAGCGGUCCGGCCGGGAACUCAAAGGAGACUGCCAGUGAUAAACUGGAGGAAGGUGGGGAUGACGUCAAGUCAUCAUGGCCCUUACGACCAGGGCUACACACGUGCUACAAUGGCAUAUACAAAGAGAAGCGACCUCGCGAGAGCAAGCGGACCUCAUAAAGUAUGUCGUAGUCCGGAUUGGAGUCUGCAACUCGACUCCAUGAAGUCGGAAUCGCUAGUAAUCGUAGAUCAGAAUGCUACGGUGAAUACGUUCCCGGGCCUUGUACACACCGCCCGUCACACCAUGGGAGUGGGUUGCAAAAGAAGUAGGUAGCUUAACCUUCGGGAGGGCGCUA
rnacentral:rRNA from 1 species